rnacentral:lncRNA from 1 species
UCUCACCGGGGAUGGUGAGAAGUAAAUCUGGGGGAGGCGCUUAUCUGCUACUAAUCGUUUACCUUUGGUUUUAUGUUUAGAGUCAGUCCACUUUGAGUCGUUUUAAUGUCUUUAUCGAGUCAGUUUGUUAAGAUCGAGUCAGUCCAAACUUUGUGGGAAUCAGGACCUUAUUCUAUGAUGUGUGUUAACCACCCUUGUGCUUUAAUUCAUCUUAUUCAGUGACCUUAGCAGAAGCGACAGACGCACAUGUGGAUCCAGAACACCC